GGAGGCAAUCGGGGGAAAAGGAUUUUAUUUUUCAUCUGAUUACCAUCAUUUUCUCUCCCUCUCUCGGGUCUAAGAGUGGGAUGGAUGUAGGAAGAGGAAGGAGUUGUACUAAUAUGGGUUACUGAAAUGUUAUUGGCCCAUGUUAAAUACAGAAAUGGAGGGUUUAGAAAUGUUUAAGGUGAUUUUACUUUGCCACAGUGUCCAAGCACCUGAUCAAUGGACUUGUCUUGAUGAAGAGGGCAGUGGUGAGCAUUUGGGGUGCUGUUGAAUUUGUGUGGUGGCUCACACACACUAGGACCACAUAUCCUCCCUCAAAAUUUUGGAAAUUUUAAAAAACUCAUCCUUAACUGCAGAGAGUUUAUAAAAUAUAUUGUCAAAGAUAACAUAGCCCUAGUCACAUGGUAAGGAAAAGCCAACAAUCAAGAAAUGCUUGGAAACUGAGAAAUGGUAAAGGCAGGAGUACAAAGGAGGUGAAGAGAAUGGUCACGGUAGGUUGAGGUGAAACAGGAAGUCGAUCCUUGGAGAUGAAUCCUCAGAGGGUCUUGAAAAAAAAAGUUGGCAAAUAUUAAGGGGUAGAAGGAUGUUUCAAGAGAGAGGAAGCUGUGAGCGAAGGCAUGGAGGCCUAUGCAGAAGAUGUGAAGGCCAUGCACAUUAUUUGCUGAUUGAAAUAGAAAGGUCAAGAGUCUGGGUUCUGCCAUUUGGCAACCGUCCUAAUGAUAAUUGAUUGAAGUAAGAACAUUAAUGGAUGCUAAGGAGUGGGCAAGUUUGAGAAAUAACAGACUAUUUAGAUAGUCUCAAAGUAUCCGCCCUCCAGAUUCUUAAUGACAAAGCAAAACUAAUAACCCUCCAAUGAUAAAACCUAGCAGAUACCACCUUAAUUAACUGAUCAGUUAGUGUUACAAGAGAUGAGAAAAAUCCACAGCAUUUGCCUCCUGAUGUGAUGCACUGGGGAAAACACAACAACACAACAUCAUAUUUGUGUUAUUCCUGCAAAAAAAAAAAAAAUAGCAUAACCUAAAUCUACUCAUGAGGAAACAUCACGCAAAUGUCACUUGAAAAACAUUCUACAAAAUAGCUGGUCCGUAUUCUUCAAAAAUGUCAAUAUCAUGAAAGACAAAGAUUGAGGAAGUGUUGCAGAUUAAAGGAGACUGCAGACACGUGACAACUGAAUGCAAUGCAUGACGUGGGAUUAUCUUUUGCUUUAAAGCAAAAUGUUGUUCUUUAAAGGACAGUUUUGGGACAAUUGGUGAAAUCUGAAUAAGGAUAAAGACAGAGGAACAAAUACCAGACCAGCAAACUUACCUGAAUCCAGCUGCCCUCAGAAUAUGGCUGAGGCUUGGUCAAAGCCCAGAACUUAGCAAGGGUUAGAGGACAUCAUGGGACCAUAUUCCCAGUCACUCCAGGUUUGAGAAACAAUUCCACAACCGCUCUUCUCCCAUCAAGCUAAUACAUUUUGAGGAAAAACUCAAGAUUUCAAGAAAUAGGCUCUCGGACACAAUUCUGUGGGGGAGGCUGUUGGCUUACCAGUUGCAAGGAGUGAAUCUCAAGAGAUUCAGAAGCUCAAUCUGAAUAAACAACCAAAACUUUGGAGGCUUAUCAAAACUCUGGCAAAACUAGGCCAGAAGUGGACUCUAUUUUCUAGUGAGGUUUCCAGUAUUUUCUGUUUCCAGUGGAACUGGACUAGCUCAGGAAGAUUCUACUAAUGACUAGAACCAACUGGACAUAACUGGAGAACACAGAAAGAUUGAAACAAAAAAACAAGAACAAAAACAUGAGAAAAGAUAGUGUGUGCUGUUUCCAGCUGCAAGAGAGAUGAAGAUCAUUCAAACAUGGUGCUGAAAGUAAGUUGACCUGUUACUUCUAUUUUCCUAGAAAAAAAGUCUGAAGGGUUUUA